rnacentral:tRNA from 1 species
UCCCCUAUAGCUCAGUUGGUAGAGCGUCGGACUGUUAAUCCGUGUGUCCUUGGUUCGAGUCCAAGUGGGGGAG